ensembl:sRNA
GACUCCGGUGGUGGCACUCCUGACUCUGUCAGGACAGGGUUCAAUUCCCUGCGGUGUC